CAGGGAGACAACAAAAUGUUUAAUAUUAUUAUUUUGUCACCUUAGGUCGAUCGGUACCUCACAUCCUUAAUCUAUUAAGGAUUUCAUUUCCUAAGUUUUUCUAGGUCACACCCAUUUUUUUCCUGGGCCAUUAGCUCAGGUGGUUAGAGCGCACCCCUGAUGAGGGUGAGGUCCCUGGUUCAAGUCCAGGAUGGCCCAUAUCUCUAUGUUGGGGGUAUAGCUCAGUUGGUAGAGCGCCUGCUUUGCAAGCAGGAUGUCAGCGGUUCGAGUCCGCUUACCUCCACUGAUUACCACCUCUUUCAUAAUCUAUAUGAAGGAAAAAUUUUGAGUUGUGAUCAAAUUCUGAACGAAUCUAGCUUCCUAAUGAAAUCAUUAAGAUGCUGGACUCAUUGAAUUAAUUUCAUUGUUUUCAGAGAACCUUGACAACUGCAUAGAUUAUUUUUAAAGACAAUAAGCAUCUUUUAAUGAUGCAGAUUUAUUAUUUGUGCGAAUGCAUUUAAAUAACAAUUCGAUUAAGCUGAUGCUUCAAUUUUUGAAGUUAUU
rnacentral:tRNA from 1 species